AUUGAACGCUGGCGGCAGGCCUAACACAUGCAAGUCGAGCGAGCGGCGGACGGGUGAGUAAUGUCUGGGGAUCUGCCUGAUGGAGGGGGAUAACUACUGGAAACGGUAGCUAAUACCGCGUACCAUCCGCUGAGCCCAUAUGGGAUUAGCUUGUAGGUGAGGUAACGGCUCACCAAGGAGACGAUCCCUAGCUGGUCUGAGAGGAUGACCAGCCACACUGGGACUGAGACACGGGCCAGACUCCGACGAGAGGCAGCAGUGGGGAAUAUUGCACAAUGGGCGCAAGCCUGAUGCAGCCAUGCUGCGUGUAUGAAGAAGGCCCUAGGGUUGGAAAGUACUUUCAGUCGGGAGGCGUUACCGACAGAAGAAGCACCGGCUAACUCCGUGCCAGCAGCCGCGGUAAUAC
rnacentral:rRNA from 1 species